CAUGGUAAUAAUAUUGAAAAUGAAAGCAUGACUUCAAUGAUUAGUAAAAAUAGAAACAAACCACGAUAGCAAAUAGCACAUAGCAGCAACAAGUGACAAACAAGUUCCAGCCCCUAUCAACCCUUUUUUUGUAGCAUUACAAGACCAACAUUACAACACAAGCUAAACUAAUGAGCUUCAGUCGCCAAGUAAAUUCCAACACAAUAAUCCUUUUAAACUUUCCCCUUCCCAGGCAACUCCAAAUUCUCUCCCAAUGCUCGAAUUAGGCCAUCCUUCAAGUAAUUGGUUUAAACUGUUUGCAGUUUAGUCAUGUAAAUAACCUGUUGAGAAAUACGACUCGAUAGUCUGUAACACAAACAAAAUCGUUGACUUCUCUUACUAUUAGUUACUAAAUUAAAUAGAGUAUCUCUAGUGUUCAAAUCAGAUAAACAAUUAUUCAAAUUAAAUAAAGGGCAAGCAUUAUGGGAUAGCAAGUUAUCUGGAUGUUUUAUCCAUAGACUGGAUAUCUAGAUGAAUUAAAAUCCUAAGGACAUGGUCUCUAUGUGUUUGCGAACAUCCUGGAAGUAAUGGUAUAGCCAACAAAGCAAACAAAUAUAACUCUUAGCUUUCCGACAUACUAUCCACAACUGGACAUGUAUGUCAUUUAAUCCUAAACAUGGUGUCUAAGUGACAAAACAAGUGCAUUGAUUUCGGCAAGGUAGUUUUAAACAUAUAAGACCGGCAAACAACCUUAAGGUUUAACGGAUGAAGUUUUAACAAUCCAAUGUCGCCUUUUAUUAACUAAGAAAUACUUACUGAAAUGAUAUCCAUGCAACAUGAAUUCAGCUAUAUUCAAAGAGUGACGAUCAUGGAACUUACAAAUAUCAUUCGAAGUCUUUUAGGCAGAAUUCCUAAACUAAAUCGAAGAUAAGUUGAUGCUACUCUUAUUUAUCCAAUCUUUAAUCCUAAUUACAAGAAAUGAUUUCCUGGUUACCAGAAUGCCAGAACAAAUCCUAAAGACCUUUAUAGUUAGGUUGUCUCAUAUUCAAAACAUCACACGCAAAGUCAAAAGAUCAAAAACACACCUGGAUUUGAGAGGCGUACCUGGUUAUUAUAUGGGCAUAAUUUCAAUAGAGUGCCGCAUGGCACUCGGCAUGGCCAAGAAAAUACAGAACACACAAAUAGAGUAAAGAAAACAAAAGCUGAAGAGGAGGACUAGUCUAUUCUAACAAUAACUAACACGUAAAGGAAUCACUAAUGCGUCGUUCAGGAAACUAACCUGUUCGAAAGCGGAACAACAAUAUAAUAAGAAGAUUAGAAAUCCAGUAACUUCAAUAACAACAAAUAAGCCCAAAUACUCUCCGGAGUGUGCAUAAUGAAGAACCAAUACUCGAACUCGAUACGUCCAGGUUGUAUCAAACGAAUAUCAAAACUAGAACUUUGUAUUUGGACAAAUAUAAAGAUUAAAGCUCUGCCUCGAUUUGUACUCGGAAGAACAGAGGAGCAAUAAAAGUAAAAGAAUAGCUAUAGUAGUAGUGAAAACCAUCCUCCUUAAGUGCAUAGAACUAGUCAGUAUUUAUAAUAGCGAAUUAGCCUUAGGGCGUGUCACUAUAAUGGAAAAGAUUCAUAAAACUAGAUAUCAAAUAAAGAAAGGUUCAGAUUUUUUUUAAAAAUAUCAAAAUUCCCGUUAAGCAAGGAUUCGGGGACUGAAGCGAAAUUGGAGUAUUCGAACUAAAAAAUGAACCGUUGGUGAUUAAUUUUGGCAGAAAAAGAUUAUGAUUAUGGGAAAACUUCGCUUUACAUAAUCGAAAAAAUCAGAACAAAAUAUUGAUAAUUCAAUUUUCAAAACUCAAUCCAAUCGAUAAGAGAAAAUGAAAAAUAGGUGAAGUGCUUGCCUCAAAACCUGUCCAUAUUCAUCUAACUAAUUUGAACAUGCGGAUGCCGAUAUGGAAAGAAAAGCAUGCAAACCUUCACUCACGACAGGGAUUUAGACCAAAACUGAAACUAAAAUCUCGGUUCUCAAUCACAAUUUCUUUACAGAUUUGAAGAGGAAAAGAAUUGAGGAAAGAAAGUUAAAAAGAAUAUUUUAAAAAAGGAAACAAAUCAAAGAAUUGGGGAAAGGUGUUGGCGAGUUGCUGGCGAAAUCGUAGGGGAAGACGAUGGUUGC
rnacentral:lncRNA from 1 species